GUGGGAUCAGCUGCUUUUUGAAGAUAAUUUGUUGUUGUGAGAGACCUCACAUAGUCCCCAAGGCUGCAUUUUCCAUUCCAGUCUCACCGUGGAGUAUUGGUUGCAGCAGGACUGUUAAUCACUGCUAAUUGUGAGGACAGCACUGCGGCAGGAACAACUGUCCCCAGUGAAGCCAGCUGAACCAGUCUUCAGUGCCAGAAAUGCAGUAUCAGCAAUGACAGCAAGGCCCCAGGCACUAGCAGAAGGAGUAUUGGUGGCUUGGCAGGAUUGAAAUCGCUGCAGAAACACGUGGGGCAGACAAGGUCUGCUGUGGUCCCUCGCUCUCCUACUCUUUCAUGAGGACAAGUUUCUAUAUCCCUGAAGACUGGUGAUAGGGGAAGAAAAGUGCAUACAGCGGACAAGAGAAGAAAGAUGAGCUAUCUGCUGCACAAAGCCAGAACGGCCGGCUGGAGCUGGAGAGACACACAAGUGUGGCACACACAGCAAUCCUCCUUCCGGGCCAGUUCAGUCCUGCUCCCUUCCACCCAGCUGGGCUCGUGGAUCCCUGCAAAGGGAAAAACUCAGGCUGGAUUGCACAGCAAGAGAAGAGAGGUCCUGGAGCCUGAAGUAUGGCUCACCCAAAGCCUUGGCAUCACAGCUGUGACUUCAGAAGGGAGAUGAUGAACUCAAGGCAGGUAGCAAGGAGCACUUGCACACCUUUAUCUUGUUCUGACACCACACAGACAAAGCCUGACAGCACCGGACUUCCCAGGCUAAUCACUGCAACCUUUGGCUCAAGUCCACAGGCAUUUUGCUCAUCCAAGCACCAGGUUACUCAUUAGCGCCCCUUGAUUACAGCGCUGCAUUCACCCCCACACCAUCUCACAGAGCCCACAGAAAAAACAGGAAAGAUUAAGGGAAAAGGCACCGUGGAAAGUAACAAGUAAAGGACAAAUUCCGGACAAGAAGAAACUAAAUAAAUUAGAACAUGCCAGCUGGCUAAGAGGGGACAGAAUCAACAUCUGAAAAAUAAUGAAAUGGAAUGAUGUGGUAAAAAGGGGAAUUAUUUACUGUAUGCAAUAAAGGAAGUCGGGAAGCCUGUUUUAAACUGGCAGCAAUUUAGAAACAAAAGGAAAUGCUUUUUCAUAAAACAAUUACAGUGUGGAACUCAGUGCCCACAGGGGCUGGUCGAGGCAAAGCAGCACACAGGUUCAAAUGGAGAUCAGAGGAAUGAACAAUGAAUACAUCCAGGAGAAGCUACCAAGCACAUGUCAGCCUCAGGAGCUGCUACACAACUCUUUGUUAGAAGCUGACAAGAUAGAGCAGGGAAAGAUAAUUCGAAAUACACAUCUAUUUUCUGAGGCCCUUUCCCCAUCCCACUCUCACCGGCCUCUGCUGGAGGCAGGAUACUUACAAUAAUCUUUGAUCUAAUUUAGUGUGACAGCUGCUGUGUUCUCAUAAAUUUCACUGAGCUUCACAGAUCAUUGAAUAAUUUUCCAUGUUUAUUGUUACAGUGAACAACAGGACACGUUCCUUCCUUCACGACUUCUUGUUUUGCACAGAUGAUCUCAAAGGACAAACCCAACUCCCUCGGUACAAUUCACAUUCAAGCAAAUAUUAUGGAAACCAAACACAGCCUCUAAAAUAUUAUUCUGGUUUCACAUAUCAACAAUGAAGACACAAGGGACUACAUAGAAAACUUCCUGUGGGAUCUAGUGAGCCCUGCAUCUUCCUCAACUGUGUUAGACUGCAUUUUCAGUGUAGUAACCCUUUAUGGUUACUUACUGUAACAUCUCUGGUGCUUCUCCUUCCCAAGAAACCACUAAGCAACAAAGUUCACAGCAAUCCUCCAGGUUUACAAGGAGUUUUUCCAUUUGAACACAGCAUGCUCCCUUUGUUUACCUGCUGUUUGGUCUCAUGAUGCAACCCAACAUUCUCUAAUCAGUUCAGAGCACUUGUAACACAGCCAGAGGCUUUGUCACCCACCGGAAACUGCGGGCUUAACAAACUUAUGCAGCCAGACAUCAUCGGUGAGUUAUUCUUGUGCAAAAUUAAUAAAAAAAUAAUUAAUAAAACAAAACCCCCAACACAUGGACCAGGUUGCAGCCUUCUCCCUUCCACAUCUUUCUGGCUAAAAAUCCAGAGAGGGAGGCCAGGGCCCUGCAGCCGGUUAUGGAAAGGGCUGAGCAUCCGGCAAGGGAGCACAGCUGCUGGCCACAUGACACACGCCCCGGUACCAGCGACGCGCUUGCUCGUGGGCAAAUCCGCUCCCACCACAGAGCAUCCUGGGAUUAUUUGCCACUUUGUGCUUUCUCCCACUGCCCCCCCAGAGGAUUUGGGACUAAACAUGGGAAAAAAAAGGCACUAAUCAUGAAUAAUGCAGUUCCAGUUACAGUGCUUGAAAUGUUCAGCUCAAAAAUGUGUGCUCGCUGUUUCCUUCUACUGGCUGCUUAGGCAGGCCUGUGGAUGUCACUGCAUGGACACACCUGGAGUGGAUGUGAUCAGCACAUGUAUAAAGAUCAGAAUUAACCCCAAAUUCCUCUGCUUUCAAGGAACUGUUUAGUUUAAUGAUUAAAACCUCAUGAGUGCCUAGAUUGUGUGAACACCUGUCAGUGCUCUUUGGAAGAAAAGGUAUUUGCUUGCUUAUUUAUUUGAAAACUGAAGCUAUAUACUAGUCAAAGGAAUUUUAUUUGGUUUUUAAAACAGAAUUGAGAUAGCAGUUUCAGCUGAAAAGUGAAGCUUCAGUGCAAAGCCAGCACACAAAGUUUCAACACCCAGCUUUUGUUCCUGUGAGCACUGACUUUGCUGCAGGGGGGCAGUUUGAACUGAGCUCUGCACCUUUAAAUUUCUUACCCCUCUGCUUUUGUGGGUAGCUGUACUAGGACCCCCACACCCUUGCAGACUUAGGAAGCCUGUACACUUAAACUGUAGAAAAAAAGAGAAUUGGGAUUUUAAGCAUUGGAGCCUGCCCUCCCAACCACAUCUCCUCCCUUACACAGCCCAUCUGCAUUACCUUUUGCACAAAUGUGGAUUAUUCAGUAACUAAAAUAGCAUUCCCCAAAAGCUCAUCAACGGUCACAUCCUUCCUACCUAAAGCUCAUUUGGACUCUGGAUCUAAUUUUCAAAAAAGUCAAGAACUGUUUUCAAAUGGGCAAGAAAAGUCCAUUUCCUCAGCUCUCUCCAACAUUUGCAUCCCUGCUUGGAAAAUAAAUAAUUAAGUUGUGACAUGGCAAAGAACAAGCCAGGAAAACAUCAGCCCAAAAGAGGCAAGUUUUGGAGAGCUGCAAACAAAGGAUUACAAUGGGAAUGCUUAUAUAAUCUUAAUUACAGAGGAUGCUUCUUCCAUAACCACAAUGGCAUACACAUGGCCUACAACUGCACAUGCUGGAGAGAACAGUAGUUAUUCCACUGGCUUCUCCCUGUGCUUACCACAGUUAACAGGGCAAAGGAAAUUCAUUUCCAUGCCCUUCCCCCAAAAUGGAAAGGUUAACCAUAAUUCUGUGGCGAGAUGAAAGCGUUAUCACUACUCCAGAAGGAUAUCAAUCUAAAUAACCCUCACACUCAGUAAAUCAAUAGGAUUCUUCUGGUUGCAUCAGACCAGCCACACAGUGUUUGCAUAGGCAAACAAUCAAUAUGAAUGUCAUCCAAAUACAGAACUGACAACAGCAGGGAAUGUGAGCAAAGGGAGGAGAUGGGGGGAGGGAAAGGGGCUGAGCAAGAGGAGAAAAGAAAGCAUCGAAGGUGUCGGAGUCAGGAAAACUCUUCCGAGUUUUAGUGCCUCAGCAACCUCCAUUCAUAUCUUGAGAAAUGUCAGAAAUCAGGAAAUAUUACUUCGGGUUGCAUGCUUCUGUCCUGGCCUAUCAAAUGCACGGAGUAGUAACAGCAAAUUACUGGAAACUGCACUUUGAACUUAGCCACUGGCAAGGAUCCCAGUCAAACAGAAAUGUAAAAGUGCCUUUCCUCCAUGGGGCCUCCUGUGUGGGGGUGUCCCCAUAGACGUUCAAUAGCUGGUUGCAACAGGUUGGAAUGAGGCCCUGAGCCAGAAAAACAAGCCCUGACCAGUAUUAUUUCCUACUGCCUCGGUUGUUUAUUAAAAGAUAUUUUGACGCAUCACUCUCAGCUUUGUUGGGCUGCACUGGAGGCUCGAGGCCCAUCGAGGAAAAACUGGCACCAUUUUCACUAAGUGCUCACGCCUCCUUUUCUUCCAGCAUUCCUCCUCCUGCCUCCCCAUGUGCACAGCUAUAGGUGCAGCACAAAGAUACACUUAAAGGAGAAUUGGAAACAGGCAGACUGGUUGCUAAGCAAAGGCUCUGUAUUUCCUACAAAUAGAGAAGUAAUUAGAUUCUAAACCCUAUCAAUAUUCCUAGCAUAGGCAGAAGAAACAACAUUUUUCUGCACACCAGACUUUUAUAACAGGGUUUGAAAAGAAAAAAAAAAUCCAACCACAGAGUGUUCAGGAACAGUAACUUAAUGUUAUUAACAACCCAGGGAGUGCCCAGUGAGUGCAGAAAGGCAUUGUAGCCUUCCCCCUUCCAGAGGUGAAAUGAUCAAAAGACUGGCCUCUUUACAGUCUGUUAUAUUUCUGUCUAAGAAAACCCAAUUUGCACAAGCAAAUAAACUAGCUCAUUAUAAAACUGAGGGGUCAGCCUGAGUCAGAUAAACUCUGAAUUCAGACAGCUGAAGAAACAAACUUUUAUUUAAGCCACAGCACAGGUGAUCCUAAGAGGAAACAGUAAAUCCCCAUAGAGCCACAACUUCCACAUUGGGCAACAGAGAGCACGAGGAAUGGAGGUGCAGGAGUGCAAUUUUCUAAGGCCACACGGCUCAGCACACAUUUAAUCAGAAACAACAGAUCCCGGCCUUGCAUUCAAAGGGGGGGAAAGCAAAUAGAAAAAUCAAACACUGUCGUCACAAUGCAGCGAGUCAAACAUUAUUGAAAUCAUAAGGACUAAUCAGUUUCUUGCCUUUUCUUUUUGUUUUUAAGAGAUCAAAUUUUUUUCUUAUUCUUUCCCCUCCAGGGAAGAAAAAACAAACAAACCCCCACCCCCUCCACCCCCCCAAAAAAAUCCCCACCAAGCCAGUUCUUCUUUUGGAGAUUGCCUAGUAACCAAUACACCAUCAAGCACAGAUUCCAUUUUUCCCUUCCUGAUGAAAGGAAUUAAGCCUGACUGCAUCAGGACU